GUAGAAACUUCAAAAUCUAAUGGAAGACCAGCAGACAAGAAAUGAUGAGAUGUUCAAGAUGAUGCAAGAAAACAUGAAGAUUAACCACAAUAAUAUGAACGAGAUACGAUAUGUGAUUAAGGCACAGUUCAGACACAAGACGAAAAAAGAAAGACAGCCUGUAUAUACGCAAUUAUAAA